UACGUAGGGUGCGAGCGUUGUCCGGAAUUAUUGGGCGUAAAGAGCUUGUAGGUGGUUUGUCGCGUCUGCUGUGAAAAUCCGGGGCUCAACCCCGGACUUGCAGUGGGUACGGGCAGACUAGAGUGUGGUAGGGGAGACUGGAAUUCCUGGUGUAGCGGUGAAAUGCGCAGAUAUCAGGAGGAACACCGGUGGCGAAGGCGGGUCUCUGGGCCGAUACUGACGCUGAGGAGCGAAAGCGUGGGGAGCGAACAGG
rnacentral:rRNA from 1 species